rnacentral:tRNA from 1 species
GUUUUAAUAGUUUAAUAAAAACAAUGAUUUUGUAAAUCAUAAAUAGGAAUAAACCUUUAAAACU